rnacentral:lncRNA from 1 species
CAGGAAUAUCCUUUGGCCUUAACAUGAUUCAUUUGACUCUAGCUAAUUUUUUGCACUCUUUUGAAAUACUUAAUAAACCCAAUGAGCCUAUUGAUAUGAGUGAAGCCCUUGGAAUGACCAAUGAAAAAGCUACUCCACUUGAGAUUCUAGUUAAACCACGUUUGUCUUCUAAGUAUUAUGAAUCCUUGUGAUGUGGUAGCAGUAUACUGUCAGAUAGGAUCACUCUUCAUCUGUUUCAAUAAAUCAGUUCAGUGUGUAAUUUGUAAUCUUCAACAUUGUUAAAGAUUGCCAUUGGAAUUUCUAUCAGUGGAAGUGAGUGAAGGAUAGAGAUUAUCUCAACACUGGACAUAUUUGUUCCACACAUUUAUCUCAACAUACUUUUGCUAGCAUGUACUUGGUCUAACAACAGCAGUUCCAAGUUCAGGGUUUUGAUGCAGUUUUAUAGUUCUGCUGCAUAAUUCUGAGUGUUGGUUUGUCGUGCAGUUGAGAACAAAGUAAUCUUGGUACUGUUUUUGGAUCUGGAAUUACAUGUUUUAGUGUGCUUUUAAUAGGUCUGAUGGUGUUAGGGAGAUUUAUAAAGUUUAAAAAAAUCCUUUACUACCUUGCCACUGUUUUCAUCUUUGGGAGAAAUGGAUUCACUCCCAAAGAUUGAGUACUUGCUAAAGCUUGAGUACUUAGGAUAGUUCUUGUUGAAGCUUUAUGUGUUCAGGUUUUUUAACUAGUGAUAGUGUAGAGGUAGAUUUGUCAAAACAGGGGAGGGAAAAAAAACUUAACAUCACAACACAUUUGAAGACUUGGGAAAAAAAUAUAUACUUUUUUUUUCCUUAACUAAGUUUUUAUUCUUAAGAAAGGUCCUUGUUUGACAAUUUUAAUGAAAUAGAAGCAUUAGCUUGUAUAAAUAAUAUAUCAUAACCAUUUAAAUCCAUGUCGAAAGCUAAUGUUUUUUAUUUUAAAAUUUAUUUAAUUUAACGUCAGUUUCACCCACAUUAAUAUUUUUUAUUUAUUUUAAAGUUUAUUUAAUUUAACGUUUGCUUUAUCCACAAGAUAUUUUUUUAUUUUAAAAUUUAUUUAAUUUAGUGUGUGUUUGAGUCUCACUAAUAAUUUUUAUUUUAAAAUUUAUUUAAUUUAAUGUGAACUACAAACUAUAUAAAAACUAUUUUUAAUAUCAAUUUAAAUUGUGUCGAUUUCACCAACAUUAAUGUAAGUAGUUUUGUUUAUCAAUAAUGAAUAAAUAAAUUAAAAGGAAACACUUUAAGGAUAUUUCAACUCUUAUAUAAGAACCAAUAAAACUUCACUUUGGAAGAUUUUAUAUUAUUGUCACAAACAGUUUGUUAAAAAAUGAUAAACUUUUUUUUUUACCUUACCUAGGUUUUUAUUCUUGAGAAUGUCAUUGUUUGUAUUAGCUUAUAAAAAAUAGAUUCCCAAAGCAUUAGCUUGUAAAAAUAAUAUACCACAAGCAGCAUUCAAAUCAAUUGGGAAUGAAACUCCUUCAAUCAUACACAACAAACUACAAGAAAAUAGUUAUUAUUUAACAUAUCCAAAGAAGACACUAAUUAACUAAUAGAGUUGGAUGCAUGUGUGAUUUUAAAAUCGUUGAUACUAAAUCAUUAAUAUUGAGACUCUAAGUAACCGACGCUAAUUUGUCAUUCAUUUUUAAUUAAAAUAAUUUAGUGUUGGUUUGGUUGACACUAUAAUGUUUAAGUGUGGGCAAAAAAUCCAAAUUACGAAAUCCAAUCCAUAAUUAUCCAAAUUCAUAUUUUUGGAUUUUAAAUCCAAUCUAUCUAACUGGAUGUGGAUUAAAUAUAGAUUGGAUACAUUUUUGGAUUAUCCAAAUUGCAUUUUGGGUUGGAUUUUGACUUGACCCGAUCCAGGUUGAGCCAAGACACUCCGGGCCCAGGUUGAACAAAGUCGACCAAAGUCCACGUCGAGCCUAGUCGUCCGGGCCCAAGUCGAAUCAAAUGGUAUGGACCAAAGUCGAGCCGAGUCAACCCUAGACCAAGUCGAGCUGAGUGGCCGAUAUUGAGUCGACCCGAGUCAGCCGGGGCUGAUAUCAAGCCGAGUUGGCCCAUGCCAAUAUCUAGUCUACCCGUUCCGGGCCCAUGUCGAGCUGAGUUUUUCGGGUCCAAUAUGAAGUUGAGCGGGCUCGGGCUGAUAUCCAAACGACCAGGCCAUGGCUGAUGUCGAGUCGAGCUGGCCCAGCUCGAUGUUGAGUCGAGCACGUCCGGGCCGAUGUCGAGCCGAGCGGGCCAAGACCGAUAUUGAGUCGAGCGAGCUCGGGCCGAUGUCGAGUCAUCCGGGCCCGGGCCAAUGUCGAGUCGUUAGAACCCGAGUCGAUGUAAAAUCGUUCUGGCCCGGGCUGAUGUCGAGACUUCCGGGUCCGAGCCGAUGUCGAGUCGUCUGGUCCCAAGUCGAUGUCGAUUCGUCUAGGCCCAGGUCAAUGUCGAGUCGUUUGGGCCUGGGCCAAUUUCGAGUUGUCUGGGCCCGGGCCGAUGUCCAGCCGAGUUGGUCCGCAUCCAAGUUGAGUCGGCUUAGGCAUAGUUGGAGCCAAAUUAGUCUGUGUCUAUAUCAAAAUAAAUUUAAUGUAAUUGAUAAAGUGAAUUUAAUCUAAUUAACAAAGUGGAUUUAAUCUAAAUUUAAUCCACUUUAAAUGGAUUUUAAAAAAAUUCAAAUAAAUUUGAUAUAAUUAUGAAUUUUAAAUUUAAUCCAUUUAUUUAGAUUUGGAUUUAGAUUGGAUUUUCAUCAUCACCCUAAUAAUGUUUUUUUAUUUUAAAAUUUAUUGAAUUUAGCAUUGAUCCAUGCUAAUAUUUUUUAUUUUAAAAUCAAGUACACAUUCAAAAUCUUCAUUCGUAAGUAUGUUUUUUCAUAAAUUUUCUAAAAUAUGUAAUUCCAAGGUUUUAAGUACAUUUCAAAUUGUAUUUUCCAAAAAAUAUAAAGAUUUAAAAUGUCAUUUUUUUCAUCUUUCUACUAUACUAAAAAAAGUACAUAAAGAAAUUAUAGAAAGGAUGCAGGAAGCAAUUUCCCACUUUCCUUUUCUUCCUAGUUGAUCAUUAUUACCAACCGUCUGCAUAUGCGCUGCUCUUGUUUUUGGUCCACAUGAGUCAGAGUGACCAUAGAAUCUUAUCUUCCUGGUCAACUAUCCUUGCUCACCAAGGUUCUCAAAUUAUUGACUAUUCUUCAACUUUAUGAAAUAAAAACAAAUAUGUUUCAGCCACCUUAAAAUAACAAUUUUUGUCUCCAUUAUGCAGAACAUACUAAUAGAUUCUAAUACUUGCAGAUCAAGCACACCAACAUGGGGUGACAUGUUAAACAAAAUGACCUCAUAUUGGUCCAACCAUGCGGCCAUGCACAAGACCCUAUACGCAUCUUCUCCCUAUAAAACCAGAAAGGAAAACAAGUUCAAAUAUAUUCCACCAUAACAAGCAAAAAUGGACUUUCUCCUAAAUUGCUUCACCUUAAAAAUCACCACUCUUAUUGUAUCCUUCCUUUCUCUAUACUUCUUCAUUUUCUAUCUAUAUCGGAGAAAUUCUCGUGGAAAACAGGCUCCAAUAGUGAAAGGUGCAUGGCCAAUACUUGGUCAUCUUUCACUCUUGAAUGCCUCACAAACACCCCAUUGGACUUUGGGUGCUUUGGCUGACAACUAUGGACCCUUGUUCACCAUCAAGUUCGGUGUCAAAGAGGCCUUGGUGCUCAGCAACUGGGAAAUGUCCAGGGAACUCUUCACCACCAACGACCUUGCCGUUUCAUCACGUCCUAAACUCGUUGCCGUGGAAGUCAUGUCCUACAACCAAGCCUUUGUAGGGUUGUCACCAUACGGAUCUUAUUGGCGAGAGCUUCGAAAGAUUGUGACUUCUGAGUUUCUCUCCAACCGCAAAAUAGCGCAACUCAGCCACAUUCGUGUCUCAGAGGUUCAAACCUCUAUGAAAGAGCUCUGCAAUUUAUGUUAUACUAGUGUAAACAACAAGAACAAAAAGGAGAAUGAAUCUUAUAGUGCUGCUACUUUGGUGGACAUGAAGGAGUGGUUUGCACAUUUGACUUUCAACAUUAUAGUGAGGAUGGUGGUGGGGAAGAGGUACUUUGGUGUGGUGCAUGUGGAGGGAAAGGAGAAGGCAGAAAGGUUUCUGAAGAACUUAGAGGAGUUCAUGAAUUUGAUGGGGACUUUCACUGUGGCUGAUGGAGUUCCUUGCUUGAGGUGGUUUGAUUUCGGGGGCUAUGAGAAGGCCAUGAAAGCAACCGCUAAGGAAAUGGACAAGCUGUUGAGUGAGUGGUUGGAGGAGCACCGUGAGAAGAAGGGUGAUGGAGACUUUAUGGAUGUGAUGAUUUCAGCACUGAAUGGGGCUCAGCUUGAAGGGUUUGAUGCUGAUACAAUAUGCAAAGCCACUUCCCUGGUUAGUACUACAAUAUAUUUAAAUACUUGCCAUCAUUUCAAAGAUUGAAUGUAUUCCACUUUAUUUCUCUGUUUUGAAUGAGAGGACCCUUUUGAUGAAACUUGAACAUAUUUGCAGGAAUUGAUUUUGGGUGGAACUGAUACAGCUGCUGUUACUCUUACAUGGGCACUAAGUCUGCUAUUACGAAAUCCUCUUGCAAUGGAAAAGGCUAAAGAAGAAAUUGACAUGCAUAUUGGCAAAGAUGGACACGUAAAAGAGUCAGAUAUAAGCAAACUUGUGUAUCUUCAAGCCGUAGUUAAAGAGACAUUGAGAUUGUAUCCACCAGCACCUCUUUCAUCACCUCGUGAAUUCAUAGAAAAUUGCACCUUAGGUGGCUACCACAUCAAAAAGGGAACUCGACUGAUGCAUAACUUGUGGAAGAUCCACAGAGACCCCAGUGUUUGGUCAGAUCCAUUAGAAUUCAAACCAGAAAGGUUCCUCACCACUCACAAACAUGUGGAUCUUAGGGGUCGCCAUUUUGAGUUGCUACCCUUUGGAAGUGGGAGAAGAAUUUGUGCUGGAAUGUCCCUUGGCUUAAACGUGAUCCAUUUCAGUUUGGCUAACAUGUUGCAUUGCUUUGACAUCUCGAAUCCUUCGGCUGAACCUAUUGAUAUGACCGAGUUCUUUGGAUUUACCAAUACCAGAGCUACUCCACUUGAGGUUUUGGUUAAGCCACGCCUAUCUCCAAACUACUAUGAAGCUUUAUAAUCCUUAUGUAAGGCAUUGUCCAUGGUUCAAAGUUAUGGUUGCGGUUGCAGUUACAAUUUCCUCGCAAAACUUGACAUUACAGGAAAUUGUGGACAAAUGCGGACUAAGUGAUUGUGAUGAGUUGAAAAACCUUUAUUUUGCGGCUGAAGUUGCAGUUGUUAACUUCAAUUUAGAACUACGGUUUUGUGAGUCUUAUAUGUUGUAUGUGUUCAAAUCGAAUCAUGGUUUGUGGUCUAUUCUAAGUUAUGUGAACUUGUGAUAGUUUUGUUCCUAGGCAGAUUUAUGUCACACGUAUUUAGCUGUCAUGAAAUAAAUGUGAUCUUGUAAUAAAUUUAUUUGUAUCACUGUAUGGGUUUGUGAUUUUUUGGAGAAGAUAUUAUCAUAAAAGAAUAAAUGAGAUGAAGUUGUUCAUUCCCAAUUUCCGAGGGUGCUUUGGAUUUAUUCUAUGAAUGAAUUGCUUAAUUGGUUAACCGUGAGUGAUGAAGUUGUCUGUGCAAUAAUUGGAAACCAGAGGCAAAAUAGAGAGUGUACUAAUUAGCGUAGCAAAUAAUAAGAAAGUGAUGCAUAACAGUGAACUAUAGGACAAAUGAUCUAAACUGCAAAAUCCACAAUUGAAGCUUGAAAAGUAAAGGUGUUUGGCUAUUGGGGUUGUUGGAUUUGGUUAAGGGGAGGGGUAGUAAGUACUUAUGUUCCACUUAGAGUGAUUAUUUUUUCACCCUCAUUUUGUGUAUGUACUAAUUAUAUAAAUAUAUAUAUAUAUAUAUAUAUCACUUUCUGAUCUUAAAGAAAUUAAAAGAAAAAUAAAACUUUAAUUUAAUGUCAUGUCAUGUUAAUAAACUGGAAAAUUAUUAUUGUAAUAUAAAUUUGUAAAAUUCUAUUACAAAUUAGAAAAUAAAUACGACCACACUUUUUUCAAUUAGAAGCGAAAAUUUAUAUAUAUGUUAGGUUUUUGUCUUCAUUAAAACCAACACAUGUGGUAACCUUCCAUUUCCGGUUUGAAAAUAUGUAAACCUCUUUUAUCAAAAUUAAGAACUCAUGAUAAUAUCUUUAUACUAAAAAAUAAAAAAUAAAUAAAUGCUUUGUUUAUUUACCAAUAUAACUUACCCAUUCAUUUAUACCUUUUUCUUUUCAAAAUUUUAAGAUUAUUUCAUAUUUUGUUAUAAAAAAAUAUUAUAUUACACUGACUUUGUUAUUAAAGAAAGAGUAGAUAAUUAAGUGAAAGAGGAAAAAGUAAUGAUGGAGGUACAAAUUUUUCUAAGUUAACUUCUUUAUCUUGAGUGAAAAUGUAUAAAUUAAUAUCAAAAUUAAAAGAAUGGAUUGACAGUUUUUUUUAUGGACAAAGAAUAAUUAAAUUAAGAUAAAGGGACACUUUAAGAGUGUUCCAACCCUUUUACAUAUUUCAUUAUUAGCUAGCUUAAACUAAAAUUAAAAUUAGCUGAAUUUAUAGCACAACAUGUAACAAGCUUAAGCUUCCUAAAUAGCUUUACAACCCACGGCCAACACACCCACUUUUUCUGCAUAAAAAACCAGCAACACUCUUCCGCUCCCUUCACUCUCCAUGAGCCUUUAGAGUUGCUAAACCCAAUUCAGUGCGUUGAUAGAUAAACCAAAUUCUACAUUCUUCUGCGUAAUUAUGCAGAAUUAAAAACCAUAUUGUACUAAUAACAAGUUGCAAUUGCAAUGGCCAUAAGAUUUUGUACUGGUGAUGAAUUAACAACUAUGGAUGGAUCCUAACCCCAAACCAAAAAAAAAAUAUACAAAUUCAAACGAUUCAUAAUUAUAUAAGUUUCUAACAGAAAAUGGUAGAUUUAUGAUAGGACAUGAAUAAGCCACUUGACAAAAGAAUAUGAUGCUUUUAAGAAAAAAACCAUCCAAAGGUCUUUAAUUAUAUUUCUAUAUUUUUUUUCUAAGUUUUAAAAGUCUUGUCUUGAUAUUUGCGUGUUAUUUCUUGGGGAAUUCUUUGUAUUUUUUUUCCAAUUUUCCCAUAUAAAGUCUUGUCUUUUCAUUUUUCUUAGCAAUAAUAGAAUGAAAAAUUUGACUUAUUUAAAAAUAUUCAGUAUUAUUGGAGCAUUUUUGUCCGUUCACUACUUUAUUGUUUGAUAGAAUCUUAUCGUCCGGAACAAUAAUUAAAUGGUGCAUAGAAUUCAACUGUGUAAGGGACCUAUUUGGAUUAGAAAGUACUCAUACUUUGUUCAACUAAGUCACGUACUUUGUUUCCUUCUAUCUUUUUUCACGAUGACAGAACAGUAGGGAUCAUCAGUGUUUUGAUCUGUAAAUUUAAAAAGAGUGUGAAGAUGGAAAAAUGAGUGAGAGAUCAUUUGUUUCUUCUCUCUCAAUAGUAUAGAAAGUCAGCAAGAAAUAUUUUUGAAAUUUGGAAUCAGAGUUAUUAAUACUCCGAAUCAACAAUUGAUUAUGUUUUUCUUUUUUUUUAGGUGGAUAAUCAAUUAUAAAUAUGUAAAAUUAUGAAAGAUAAUCAAUUAUAUUUUGUCGAGUUUCUUAAAGAGAGUUGUCUCACGUCCUAGGUGAUCUCUACUUACCCAUAUGUGUUGGUUUCAGGUAUAGAUAUCCAUUUGUUGAAGGUCGUUCGAGCUUUUUCUAGGAGUAUGACAUGGAUUACUUUGGUGUUGAGUGUCUGGUACUCAAAUUUUAGCUCGAGACAUUUUCUCUACCUCUUCUUACCCUUAAAAAGCAAGGGCACCAUGCGUCCUUGAACUGGUAACCAUCUUUCGAUUAACCUAGCUUCCUCCGUCUCUCGAGACCAACAAAAGAUAGUACAUGAAUAUUCACCUGUUAUCCAUCGAUUAUGCCUUUCAACCUGAUUUUAGACCCUGACUCACCUCUUUAAAUUGAUAAUCGAUUAUGGAUGAAAGAGAAUAGAAGAUAAUCGAUUUUUGUUCUGUUCUUCCUUCUUCAUCCUGUCAUCCGUGGUUUGUUUCCUACAUCUUUCUUUACUCUUUUUUUAAUUAUAUCCUCUUUUUUCCAACACAACAAAUCCAAAAUAGUUAGAUAAAUAUCAAAUAAACGAGACAAUCUUUUAAUAAUAAUAAUAAUUUUAGAUGGACUGAGAUAUUAUGUGAAUAGUUUUAUUGGUCUAGGAAAUUAUAUCUUUAAUUGGGAAAAAGGGAUCAAUAAUAAUAAAUUGAGAAAGGAAACAAAAUGAGGAUAAGGAAUAGUGGUAUUAAUUCACUACUAAAAUUAACAUUACUAUUAACUUUAUGUAAUAUAAUAUGUAAUGAUACUUUUUUUUAACAUGUUAAUGUAGUUUUUAUGAAUACAUUAAAUUGUAUUUUUUAAUAUAAUAGAUAAUUAAAUUUCAUAAUAUUAUUAAUUUAUAUAUCAUAAUAUUUUUAAAUUUUAAAGAUGCACAAAAAAUUUCUUAGCCAAAUUUUAAAUACUGAUUUACUUUUAAAAUGUAUUAAUUUUUUAAUAUUAAAAUUAUAUAAAUACAUUAAUUUAACUAACAAAAUUAUUUUAAAUUAAUAAAUAAAAAAUUAUAUAAUUAUAAUUAUAUUUAAAUUUAAAUUUUAAAAUUUAUUUAUUUAUUUAUUUUAAUUCUACAUUGUUUUAUUCUUUUAUUUAUAAUUAAAAUUUUAAAUUAUUUUAAUUAACUAAAAUAUACACAAAAUUAAUUAUUAUUUAUUUCUUUUUUUAUAAAAAAAGUAAACUUGUAAUCUUAUAAUUUAUACAAUUAAAAAUAAUUCAAAAUAUCCUUACAACUAUCACAUCACUCACAUAUUUUAAUAAACUUUCCUCACCCAUCUAAUGUAAGAUACUCUAAUCCAAAUAAUGUAAACUUUCUUCACACUUUUUUUUAUCAAAUAUUUACAUUUAUACUCUCUCACACCCUCAACUUUUUACUUCUCAAAUCAAAUAAAACAUAUGUACCUUUUAAUAAAUGUUCAUUGACGAAUGUGAGCUUAAAAUUAUUACACAUCGUUUUCUUAUGCUUUCAUUUAUAUUAAUUUAAAAUCUAAAUAAUUGGUAGUUAAAAUUUUGGUAGCUAAUUAUAUACCAAUUUAGAAACUAUUUAACAAUAAUAGAAACUAAUUUAGAAAUUAAAAAAUUUGUUAGUUUCUAAAAUAAUCUCUAAUUUAGUAACUAUAACAAAUAAUUAUUUUUGUCUCUAAAAUUAAUUUGUUAGUUUCUUGUAGUGAUUAAUUUGUAUGAGAAUUUAUCUUUUAAAAACUUAAUAGUAAUCAAUUUGAUAAAGAUUGAGAAAAAAAAAACAUGGUUUUGUCUUUGCAAAAAUCGUUAGUUGACCAUCAUGAUAAACUUUUACAACACAAAACUUACUAUAAAAUAGAUUAAGAAAAUAAGAUUGAAAAAACUAUUUAAGUUAUUCUUGUGAAUGAAAGUAAAUCUCUAUAUCUAUUAUAAUUAAAUAUGAGAAUUAUAUAUAUACUCAGAAAUUCAGAGUAAUGUUGGUGUCAAUAAAUCAUAACCCAAUCCUUGAAGAAAACUUAUAUUUUUACAUUUUUAUUGAUAUUUUGAGUUCAAUUUAAUUAUUAUAUUUUAAAUUUCAUCUUCAUUUGACUUAGAUUUUUAGAUAUGGAUAUAAUAUUACCAAAUUCAAAAGUAUCUUAAUUUUUUUUAAAAUAAAGCUAAGUUUUGAAAUUGUUGUUAAAUUAGUCCAUCUUAAUUUAGGUUUGAUUUUCAAAAAUUUGGAUUCAAACACAAUUUAUCUAUUAAUAUAACAUGUCUUAAUUUUUAUUAUAUCUCUAUACUUUUCUACUAAAUUUAAAAAGUUGUUAUUUUUGGGAAUUCUUUGUUCACUAGGAUAGAAAAGCAAUAAAUGUGUUUUUGUUUGUUUUCAAUUAAUUAAAAGGAUUGAAAAAGACUGAUUUGAGAAGGAAAAAGAAAGACAAUGAAACAUUAAAUCCUCUGCUCAUACAAACACAACCAUAAAUUCUUGUCUUUUCAAUUUUCUUACCAAUAAUAGAAUAAUUUAUUUUUUUAUUUAUUUUAAAAUAUUCAGUAUUCUUGGAGAUUUUUGUCUCAUUCACUACUUUAUUGUUUGUAGAAUCUUAUCGUCCGGAACAAUAAUUAAGUGGUACAGUUGUAGCCUUACUUUCUGUGCCACUUAUCCUAUGCUAUGCUCAUAUUCGUUAUUGGUGUUGCUUAUAUUCUUACAAUUCUUAAGAUUUAUAUAGUUAUUAAUGUAAAUUGUUUAAAAAUAUAUAUAUAUAUAUAUAUAUAUAUAUAUAAUAAAAAAUAUUAAAGUAAUAAUAUUGUAAAAAUGGAUGUAUGGUUUUUAAAAGUAUUAUUUUUCUUCAAUUAAUAUUAGGGUAUGUAUUAUUUUUCUUUAAUUAAUAUCAUUCUUAUGGAUUUGAAAAGAUUUGAUGUGAAAAUGGGGUUAUUUGGAUUAAUAGAAGAUGAUAAGAAAUAAAGAAAAAGUUUAAAAAAAGUUAAUGAAUGAUGUGAUAUGUGUUAUUGAUAAAAUAUUAUUUUGUAAUAAAUAAAAGUGUAAGAUUACAAAUAUAUCUAGUUAAUAUUAAAUUAAAUUAAAAUAUGAUUAAAUUGUUUUAUGUAUAAAUAAAUAAAAAAUAUGUAAAAAUACUUUACAAAUUUUUUGAUAUAUAUAUUUAGUACAAAUAAAAUGGUUAAUUUUUUUAAAAAAUUAACAAAUAUAAAUUCUAAAUUAUUUAAUAUAUAUAAAUAAAAUUAUUAAAUUAUUAAAAAUUCUAAAUAAAUACAAUUUGGAAGAAAAAUAUUUAAACUUUUCCAUAGGGCCAAAAUGUAAUAGCAUUUACUCUAUAUCGAUUUUUUCCAGAAUCUCUUCAAAGACACAAGGAAAAAAAAUAAUUAUUCUUUGCUUUUCUAUCCACAUGAAGAGUAUUCAUGCGGAAACCUACACUUAGAUUGGAAGGGGAUAUGUGAGGAUUUGAAGAAGAGAUGUGAGAGGAGAGGAAAAUAUGUGUAAGAUUUUGAGGAAAUGGAUGUGUGAGUGCGUGAGAAGAAAGUGUAAAGAAAGUGAAGUAAUUUGAAAUAUUAAAAAAAUAAAUCAGAAAAUAAAUUAGAUCUUACAUAAAUAAAAAAUAUUAUUUUUUAAUAUUAAAAACUAUCUAAUGAAAAAUAAAAAUAUUACAACAACAAAAGUAUAAUCUAAUUAACAAUAAUAAAAAAGAGUUUUAUAACAAAUUAUAACUCAUAAAUAUAAUAAUUACAAAAAAAAUAUAUUUAUAAAAACACAACAAUAAAUUAAAUAAUAAUUUUUUUAAAAUAUACUAUAAAAUUAAAAAAUAAAUCACAUCUUACAUGAAUAAUAAAAAAAAAUGUCCUUACCACUUGCAUAUACAUAUUAAAAUCCAAUUUGUGUAACAUAGAGCAUGGGAUACACAAUCUUCUCUUGGAUAAAAUAAUGGAUCUAAAUGUUUCUGCAAUUGGACUUGUUUCUCUAAUCGUCUUCUGUUUCUUUUUCUAUGGCCACUUCAAAUUUUCUCAAGGAAAAGAAGCUCCCACAGUUGCAGGUGCAUGGCCAAUACUUGGUCACCUUCCAUUGAUGAGUGCUUCAAAGUCACCCCACAGAACCUUGGGUGCUUUGGCUGACAAAUAUGGACCCAUUUUCACCAUCAAACUUGGUGCCAAAAAAGCUUUGGUAAUCAACAACUGGGAAACGGCAAAGGAAUGCUUCACAACAAACGACAUCGUCGUUUCCUCUCGCCCCAAGCUUGUUGCCGCAGAACACAUGAGCUACAACAAAGCCAUGUUUGCCUUAGCACCCUGUGGUCCCUAUUGGCAAAAAAUAAGAAAGAUUACAGUCUCAGAGAUUCUCUCCCCUCAGCGAGUGAAGCAACUACGUCAUGUUUUUGAGUCAGAAGUUGAAGAAUCGAUCAAGGAGCUCUCUAACUUUUGGUGCAGCAACAAGAAUGAGAGCGGUUAUGCCUUGGUGGAGUUGAAGCAAUGGUUUUCUCAUCUGAUAUUCAACAUGGUCCUUCAAAUGAUUACAGGGAAGCGAUAUUUUAGUGCAGCAACUGUGGAUGAUGAGAAGGCACAGAGAUUUGUGAGGGCUGUGGAGGAGUUCAUGCGCCUGUUCGGGGUGUUCACAGUGGGAGAUGCUGUUCCAUGGUUGAGAUGGUUUGAUUUUGGAGGGCAUGAGAAGGCAAUGAAAGAAACUGCAAAAGAGUUGGAUAUUAUUCUUGGUGAGGAGUUAGAGGAACACAGAAAAAGGAAGGGUUUGGGUGAGAAGGAUGAUGAAGUUCAAGAUUUCAUGGAUGUGAUGAUUUCAUUGUUUGAUGGAAUAACUAUUGAUGGGUUCGAUGCAGAUACCGUCAUCAAAUCCACUGUACUGGUAUGGAUCUUUAUUGCAUCUUAUUUUUUUUAUUAAAUCACAUUAUAACUUUAAAUUUUAUUGUACAAAAAUUAAGGUAUUAAAACCAAAACCAUUUAUGAAUUUGAGAAAGAUAAACAAAUAAUAUUAAAUAUUAAAUAACCAAAAUGUUGUGAAGAUGUUAUGAAUUAGGGAUUUAGUGUAAUUUUUUCUUGUAUCUCUAUCACUUUCUUCUUAGAUUUCAUACUUUGAAAAAUACUCAAAUUAUCUUUUAAUAUUUUUUAUUAAAUAUUUUUUCUUUAAUUUCGGAAUAUGCACGUUAACUUCCUGAUUUAUAAAAUUUAGAAGUUAAAAUUUGUGUUUGGGAUUUUACAAUAUUUCUGAUUGUACAAUUCAAAAUUUCAGAUUGUAUAAUUCAAAAUACAAUUUUUUAUAUCAAAUUAUAGAAUUUAAAAUGAAUAAUUUUAGAAUUUUUUACGAAUAUAAGACUGCAAGAUAAAUUAUGAGAUGAAGAAAUAAACUUUUAAAUUUUUAAAAAUGAGGAUUAUGGGGAUAGAUCACCUGUCUCACACUUGGCUUAUGCGGGUUAGGCGAAAUGAUUUAAAUUCUAAAUUUGGUAGCAAAAACUUUGUAGCUAAUUAGAUACAAAUUUAGAAAAUAUUUAACAAUAAUAGAAACUAAUUUAGAAACCAAAAAUUUGUUUAGUCUCUAAAAUGGUCUCUAAUUUAGUCAAUAUAGUAAUUAAUUAUUUUUUGUCUAUAAAAUUAGUUUCUAUUUAAUGAUUUUCUUGUACUGAUGAUUUGUUUAUGUUAUAGAAGAACUUGUGAAUAAGAUCAUAUCCUUAUUUUGUAGUUAGUGAUUGCAGGAGGAACUGACACAAGUAGUACUCUUCUUACGUGGGUAAUAUCUUUGAUUUUGAGAAAUCCUUUGGUAUUGGAAAAAGUAAAAGUUGAACUAGACAUUCAUGUUGGAAAAGAGAAAUGUGUAAGUGAGUCUCAUAUAAGCAAGUUAACAUAUCUUCAAGCCAUAGUCAAGGAAACAUUAAGAUUGUAUCCUCCUGGUCCUCUUUUGGCACCUCAUGAAAUUAUAGAGGACUGCAUUUUAAGUGGUUAUAAUAUAAAAAAAGGAACUCGUCUAAUCACAAAUCUUUGGAAGAUUCACACAGACAAGAAUGUUUGGGAAGAUCCAUUGGAGUUCAAACCUGAAAGGUUUCUUACAACUUACAAAGAUCUCGAUGUCAAAGGUCAUCAUUUUGAGCUAAUACCAUUUGGAGGUGGUAGAAGAAUGUGUCCAGGAAUAUCCUUUGGCCUUGAAGUAGUGCAAUUCUCUCUUGCUAGUAUUUUGCACUCUUUUGAAUUUUUAAGUUCAUCACCUGAUCCUAUUGACAUGACCGAAACCUUUGGAUUAACCAACACCAAAGGCACUCCACUUGAGAUUCUUAUUAAACCACGUCUAUCUUUUAGUUGUAACGAAAACAACUAAUCCAUGUGCUAGCUAUGCUGUCACAAUUUGUUUUCAUUUAAAGUACUUUUUUUCUAUAAUAUUGUUCAAAGUCUUUGUUAUCUUUGUAUUUUCAUUCAAAGUGCUUGAUAUAUUUGUACUUUCCUUCAAAGUACUUGAUAUAUUUAUAGUUUAUCUUGGUAAACUUUGAAACUCUUUCAAAUAUAUAUUAUUUUUAGUAGACUUUCUUUAUUGAGUCAGGUUAGAGAGUUGGACCGUAUUUAGAGAUUCAUUGCUUAAUUCUUAAUCGCGGAUUGAAGUGAUUAAUCCUAUUUGAACGUAAUUGUAUUUAUGUUGUCGAUCAGUUCAUUAAUGUGGAUUACGAUCUCGAUCGGUCACUGAUAAGUCUCGAGAGAUUACAUUAGUCGAUACAAUUAAUGAAUUGCUUAAUUGGUUAACCGUGACUGAUGAAGGUGUGCAAUAAUUGGAAACCAGAGGCAAAAUACAGAGUGCACUAAUUAGCUUAGCAAAUAAUAAGAAAGUGAUGCAUAACAGUUUCACAUAGAAAGAGUUUUGCAAAUCCUUCAACGGGUGGGUGCCAUUUUUACAUGCACCACAUCUCUUUUUUCAGGUAAGUCACGUACUACUUUAAUAUUUAUGUACCCUUUGAUUAAAUGCCUCAUUGGUCAAUGAGCUUACGAUUAUAACACAUCAUUUUCUUAUGCUUUCAUAUUAUAUUAAUAUUCAAAUGACCUACACUGCAAAAUGAUGUGUUAGUAUAACGUGUUUUAAUUUUAAUUAUAUCUCUAUACUUUUUUUCUAUUAGUUUUAAAAGUCUUCUCUUGAUUUGUGCGUCUUAUCUUUAGUCGGGGAUUCUUUGCAUUUUUCCAAUUUUCUCAUAUGUACCACGAGGAACAAAGUCUUGUUUUUUGAAUUUUCUUAGCAGUAAUAGAAUGAAAAUUUUGACUUAUAUGUAAAAAUAUUAUUCAGUAUUACUGGAGCAAUUUUGUCCCAUUCACUACUUUAUUGUUGAGUGGUUCAAUAUUUGUGGCUGAAGACAUCAUAUAUAUAAUAUAUGCGAACCUUAUAUUAUUUUAAUUUAUUUCUUUUACAUGAACUUGGACUUUAUUGAUUCUGGUCUAAAUUAUACACCUUAACCUACCCACAUUCACAAUUCACUUAUGAACAUCUUUUUUCUUAAAUAUCAAUUAACCUUGGAAGAUAUAUACAACAAAUAUCAAGCUAUUAAGGUCAAUAUCUUGUGUUCAUAACACAAUAUUUUUUUCUCAACAAAUCCUUAAAAUAUAUCCUUAACUAUUUUUAAUUAAAUAUUUUAAAACAUAUAUUUUUUAAUUGUUUUUUAUCGUUUAAUUUUUUAUUAAUUAAGUGACAUGAUUAUUAUUUUUCUUACCAUCUUGCGGUUAAUAUAAAAUAAAACAAUAUUAUAGUUAAUGUAAAACAAUAAGCUUAACUAACUUUAUUUUUUCAUAAAAGAAUUAUUAGAUAACGAGUUUAUCAUGUUUUUUUAGUUGUAAUUUUCAUGUCAUCAUAUACCAUAAAAAAAAGAUCAUCACCAUUGAUAUAAAUAGCAAUUAUCAAACACUUUUUCAAUGAAAAUAAUAAAAAUCACUUUUCAAUUUACAUUAAUCACAAUUUAGUUUUAUAUUAAACACAAAACAUCACAUUUUUAAUAUGUGGAAACAAGUAGCAGAGUAAUGGAAUAAAAUAAAAGUAAUGUAAACCACACAAAAUUAAACAAAAAAAAAAAUUCAAUUUUUUUUUUAAUACUAUUUAAUAAAAAUAACCUAGACCUUGAACCCUAAAUUCAUAGUAUUUUGAUUUUUAAAAAAAAUAAAUUUUGUCUUAUUUUUAAAAAAAAAUAUACAAUUUGAUCUGUUUUAUUAAAUUAACAUAAAGAGGAGGAAGUGGUGACAUGAUGUGACAAAGUUAUAAACGCACGUAUAAAAAUGUUAUAAAGUAUGAUUUAAAUUAGUAAUUACAAUUCACUGCAUAAUAAUUUAAAUUUUAAUAUUUUGAAACUUAACCUUAUAUAUUUUAAAUAUUUUUUAUGGCAGCAAACUUUGAAAAUAGUUAUUAAUUAUUAUUAUUAGUGGUAGUUAUAUCUUAUAAAAAUUACAACACAAUUUCCAAGUAAAAUCAUACUUAGUCUUUGAAAAGUUUGACUUUUCCUUCUCUCUGAAGGAAUGAAGGAUCUAUUUAACCACUCCUACUUUACCCUACCUGAAACACACAGAGCCUCAACUCGCUCAAAUGGAUUUGGUUGUAAAUUCCUUGAAUGCAACCACCAUUGCACUCGCUUCUCUAAUUCUCUUCUGUUUCUUUCUCUAUGGUCUCUUCAAAUUUUCUCGAGGGAAAGAACCUCCCACAGUUGCAGGUGCAUGGCCAAUACUUGGUCACCUUCCAUUGAUGAGUGGUUCAAAGUCACCCCACAGAACUUUGGGUGCUUUGGCCGACAAAUAUGGACCCAUUUUCACCAUCAAACUUGGUGCGAAAAGGGCUGUGGUAAUCAACAACUGGGAAAUAGCAAAGGAAUGCUUCACCACAAACGACACAGUCGUUUUCGGUCGCCCCAAGCUUGUUUCGGUGGAACUCAUGAGCUACAACCAAGCCAUGUUUGCCUUAGCACCCUAUGGUCCCUAUUGGCGAAAAAUAAGAAAGCUUACAAUUUCAGAGAUUCUCUCCCCUCAGCAAGUGAGGCAGCAACGUCAUCUUUUUGAGUCAGAGGUUCAAGAAUCGAUCAAGGAGCUCUUUGACCUUUGGCGCAGCAACAAGAAUGAGAGCGGCUAUGCCUUGGUGGACUUGAAGCAAUGGUUUUCUCAUCUGAUAUUCAACAUGGUCCUUCAAAUGAUUACAGGGAAGCGAUAUUUCAGUGCAGCAACUGUAGACGAUGAGAAGGCACAGAGAUGUGUGAGGACUGUGGAGGAGUUGAUGCGUCUGAUGGGGGUGUUCACAGUGGGAGACGCUGUUCCUUGGUUGAGACGGUUUGAUUUGGGAGGGAAUGAGAAGGCUAUGAAAGAAAUUGCUAAAGAGUUGGAUAUUAUUCUUGGUGAGGAGUUAGAGGAACACAGAAAAAGGAAGGGUUUGGGUGAAGCUAAAGAUUUCAUUGAUGUGAUGAUUUCCUUGUUUGAUGGAACAAUUACUGAUGGGGUCGAUGCAGAUACCGUUAUCAAAUCCACCAUACUGGUAUGUAUCUUCAAUAUGAACAUUAUAAUCCUUUCAAACUUCAACCGUCUAGUAUUUUAUUUUUCUUUCUAAUUUUGUUUUCUGCAUGGCACAGUAUAGCAUGGUUGAAUAGUGUAUAUUAGGGAUAACGAUCUGAGUCAACCCAUUCUAGAUAGAUAUGUCCUGUUAAAAAGUACAGAUUAAUUCUAUUGGUUUAUCUCUAAGGAAAAGAUUUCUUUAACAUCCAAAAAUAAAAUACAUACAAUUUAACAAAUCAUUAUAAUAAUAUUUUUAAAUUAAAAAAUAAUAUAACAAUGUUCUGAUUUUCAAUAAAAUUUGAAUUUUGAUUAUAAUAAUAAAUUAUUUAAUAAAAUAUUUUAUUAAAUAUAUACAUUUUUUUAAAGGUAAAUACAUUAUUACUAUUAAUUUGAAAAAUAAUAUAUUUAUAUAUAUAAUACAACCUUUAAAUUUUAUUAUAAAAAAGACUAAGGUAUUUUUUUUUUUUGAAAUGUCCCUUUUAAUUCAAUUUUAUUUUUUGUUGACAAAAAAAAUAUACUUUUUAGAAAGAUAAAAAACACCAUUUAUUAAAAAAUCAUUAUUGAAUUUUGUGAGGGUGAUAUAAAUUAGGGAUUGAGUGUAGAUUCUUCCUGCAUCUCCAUGCCUUUCUUCUUGCAUCCCAUUAUACAAAAAAUACUCAAAUUAUGCUUUGGCAUUUUUCUUUAAUUCCGAAAUGUGACAUUUAAUUUGGAAGUUAAAAUUUGUUUUGGGAUUGUACAUUAUUUCAGAUUGUACAAUCCAAAAUACAAAUUUGUAUACUAGAUUAUUGAAUUUGAAAUAAAUAAUUUUACAACUUUUGAGAAUAAGAGGUUGCUAGAAGAAAUAAAUAAGAUGAAGAAAUUAAAUAAAUUUAUGAAUUAAAAUUAGUUUAUAUAUGAAUUAAAAAUAAUAUUUUAUGUAAAUUGAUUUUAAUAUAUGAUUUUUUUUUUGUUUUAUAGAAGAACUUGUGAAUAAAACCAUAUUCUUAAUUUGUUUAAUUUGCAGACACUGAUUGCAGGAGGAACUGACACAAGUAGUGUUGUUCUUGUGUGGGCAAUGUGUUUGAUUUUGGGAAAUCCUUUGGUAUUGGAAAAAGUGCAAGCCGAACUAGACAUUCAUAUUGGAAAAGAGAAAUGCGUAAGUGAGUCUGAUAUGAGUAAGUUAACAUAUCUUCAAGCCAUAGUCAAAGAAACUUUAAGAUUAUAUCCUCCGGGUCCUCUUGCGACACCUCGUGAAUUCACAGAGAAUUGCACUUUAGGUGGUUAUAAUAUAAAAAAAGGAACUCGACUAAUCACAAAUCUUUGGAAGAUUCACACAGACAAGAAUGUUUGGGAAGAUCCAUUGGAGUUCAAACCUGAAAGGUUUCUUACAACUUACAAAGAUCUCGAUGUUAAAGGUCAUCAUUUUGAGCUAAUACCAUUUGGAGGUGGUAGAAGAAUGUGUCCAGGAAUAUCCUUUGGCCUUGAAGUAGUGCAAUUCUCUCUUGCUAGUAUUUUGCACUCUUUUGAAUUUUUAAGUUCAUCACCUGAUCCUAUUGACAUGACCGAAAACUUUGGAUUAGCCAACACCAAAGCCACUCCACUUGAGAUUCUUAUUAAACCACACCUAUCUUUUAGUUGUUAUGAAAACAACUAAUCCAUGUGCUAGUUAUGCGGUCACAAUUUAUUUUCAUUCAAAGUAUCGUUCAAAGUCUUUGCUAUCUUUGUAUUUUUGUUCAAAGUGCUUGAUAUAUUUUAAUUUUCCUUUAAUGUACUUGAUAGAUUUAUAGCUUAUCUUUGUAAACUUUGAAACUCUUUCAAAUAUAUCAUUAAUAAAAAGAAUAAUUACACCGCAUAUUCUCACUACUUUAUUCCUUCUUUAUCGAUAUUUUCUUUAUAUUUUUCAAGUCCCUCUUAUGGAAAUAAAUCUUUGUAAAUUUUUUUCCUCUAUACAUCCUUCCAACUAGUAAGGCUCUGAUUUGGAUGUGAUUUGAAUCAUUCUUUAGCUUUUCCUGUCAAUGAGAAAGGAAAUAAACGUAGAUAAACAGUUUCAAUAUCACCUGAUUGAAAGUCUAUUGUUCCUACCAAUUCAUAAAAUGUAGACAAAUGUGUAUAUGGAUCCUCAUGGUCCAUUGUUGUAAAUUGAUGGGUACUUAUCAGACUGAGGAAUGCAGGUUUCAUCUCCAAGGCGUUGGUGGUAGAAGGUAUUGCAAUACUAGAGAAAUGAUGGCCUCUGGUGCAUAGCAUAAUCUCCAAGUGUUCUCUUGGGUUGUUGAUGACUUUUUACGGCAAGUGCACUGUGUUUGUCAGAAGUAAUAAUUGUCCCUAAGAACGAAUAUCAAUCCACAAGGAACAAUGAAGUGAAUUAUUGAGUACAAAAUUCGCUAAAUAUAACAACAGAACAAUAAAAAGAGUUUUGAAGUGAUUGUGUUGACACCGAUCAAUAAUAAAAUAAACAAAGAAUUAGUUGCUUGAAUUGAAAAAAUAGGGAUUAGGUUUCAUUUUUCUCACUCUCAUGUAUUUUGAUUAGGAUGUUAAUAUUAAGUUCUUUGAUUGAAAUUGAUGGCCAUAAAAAAUUCAUUUUUAUCGAUCCCUCGCAUAUAAAAUCCUUAAAAAUGUUUCCUAAAUAUCGAUCCCUUGCAUAUUUAUAAAAACAACUUAGAAUCCCAUUGAGACGUUAAUGUCAAUUAACAUUUCAAGUUUAUCCUUAACACUCAAAUAUGUUAAGUAUUGUUGUUCAGGUUUGAACCCUAAAAAUACCUCUCGGUUAGAUUUAAGACUAUCAAUUUGUCACGGAAAGUUAAAAGUAAAACAACAAUACCAAUAAUCAAUCAAGAACUUAAUAUUAAUAUAUAAGAUAUCACCUCAAUAUAUAAGAGUUUGAGCAUAUUACUCCAAAUCCAAAAUGGUAAAAUUAGCCACGCAUACUUCUAGCACCUUCCAUUCUCCUAAUUGGGUUACAAUUCACUCUAUGGUGUUUUCCUCUCAAUCUGACACAGUAGGAUUGAGCCUCUAGCCCCCUAUUUAUCCUAAUUUUCUAGGGUUAGGUCGCUUCUUAUGUCGUGCUAAUGGGCUAAGUGAUAAAACAUAAAAAAAACCCCAAUCUUUCUGACGUAUUCUCGCUCAAGCGAGAUACUCUUGUGGCGAAAUAGUCUUUUUCUGCAUCUCUUUGCAUUCUAGGACCUACCUUCUAGCUUUAUCUUUUUAGCUCAAAUUAUUCUCCUUUACUCCAAAUCUUCAAUCCUCCCUAAAAAUAUGCAAUUAACACCAAAUUUGGGAAUAAAAUUCUCUUAUUCAAAUAAAGAUCAUACAAAAUGUAUAAAUUCAUAAAUUAGAGAUUAUUCUAUAUGUAAAUUAGCAAUAAAUCCUCCUAAGUGCCUAAAUUUUAAUAUGAAAUAUUACUGAAAUUAGACACUUAUGAGUUGUGGUGGUGGUUUUUUUUGGCUAUAAUGCUUUCUUCUUGAAAAAUAUUAAUGGGAAGGAAAAAAAUGGUUAAGGAUUCUUCUAUAGUCUCUUUGUUUUUCUGUUCUCUUUCUCUCGUUGUUUCUUGUAGCUGCCUUUUCAAUCUCUAAUUUAAACAAUUGAGGAUUCUUCUAGCAGAAACAAUUUAAGCCAUAACAGUUCUUGGAGUUAAUCUUUAAAAGGUUUAAUUUGUAUUUUUUAGAAGUUCACAGUGUAUAAAAAAAUAAUUUUCUUUAAAAAUUAGAUUCAAAUUGGUUCUACAACAAUGUGCUUUGAUAAAAGACUUUACUUUUAAAUUGUAAAGCAAGAUUCAAAUCAGCUUUCAAUAACCGUCUAUUUAAACAAUAAAACACUUUAAAUCACAUUUUAAAAUCAAAUUUGAUAUGAUGAUGUUUAAAACCAGUUCCAAAACGAGAUUUCUUAUUGAUGGUUUGUUUUUAAGUAUGAACUUGUCAUCAAAGACACCAUCCAGUUUUUAAGUUUGAUUAAUUUCUUUAGUUGUUAGAAGUAAUGAAUACGAGAGAAGAAUAACACACAAUGAUUUAUACUAAUAUGAGAGAAGUAGUGUAUAUACUCUUACUUACGAUAAAGAAUUAUAAAAAUUAAAAGAAGUAAAACUUGACGAAAUUUGUACUUCCAUCAUUAUUUUUUCCUUUAUCACUUAUUUCUAUACUCUUUCUUUAACAACAUUGUAAUAUAGCGAUUUUUUAUAACAAAAUAUGAAAUAAUUUUAAAACGUGUGAAGAAAACGGUAUGGAUGAAUGGAUACGUUAUAUUGAUAAAUAAAUAAACCACAUGCGUUGGUUUUAAUCAAGACAAUAACUUGACAUAUACAUACGUAUCUCCAAAAUUUUAUUUACCCAAUUCUUACCAAAAAUAUUUUAAAAUAAUUAAUUUGUCGUCGUAUAAAUUCUCACUUCUAAUUGAAAAAUGUAUGAGCAUAUUUAUUUUCCAAUUUGUAACAAAAUUUACGAAUUUAUAUAUAAUUUUACAAUAAUUAUUUUUUAGUUUAUUAACAUGGCAUAAAAUUAAAGUUUUCGUUUUCUUUUAUUGACAUGUUGGUCGAAUAAGAGGUUUUUUUUAUUUUAUUUUAAUUUCUUUAAUUAUUUAAUUACCUAAAUUAUUUCAAUCAACACAACAAGUAAGAUAGGACGUUUAUAAAUAAUUAUCAGAAUAAUAUUUCAUUAAGUAAACUAAUUCUUAAUAUUUUAGAACAGUUACCAACAAGUAUCCACAGUUAAAAAAUAAAAAUAAAAAUAUAAAUUUAAUAUAUUAUAAAAAAAUAGAUUUGAAUAUUACACUUAUCAAAAUUACUUUCUAUUUUAGUUUCUAAUUUUUUUUAUAGACUCUUGAAUUAAAAAAUUAAAAAUAUUUUUUAUUCAUCCCAAUCUAAAAGUGAUAGUUUAGUCUUUUGAAAUUUAAAUACUAUUUUGAGUUAUCUAAUUUAUUAAUAAUUGACAAAUUCGUUAAUAAUUAUAGAUUCAAUUGAAAAAAAUAAAGAAUAAAAAAAACAAAGCAUCAAUGACAUAAACUCAUAAUAAUGAAUCCAGACACUGAAUUACAAAACAUUAUUUUAUUUAUAUGAAUUCGAUUGCACUUUCUUUAUAAUGAUAUUUCUUUUGAGUUUUAAUUAUCUAGAAAUUUUCCAAACAAUUAUAUGUGACAAAGCAUGAACAUGAAAUCAAUAACAGUAUAUAUGAAGUUGAAUGUGUAACGAUGUGACCAUUUUACACUAUCAAUCUAUUCCAUGUUUUUCCAUUACAAUUUGAUUUGUGUGCUUAAAGUGAUCAAUCAUGGAUGCAAAUAAUGAUGAAAUAGAAAUUAAUAUGCUCAUAAAAAAAUAAAGGCAACGUUGGUGUACCUAACAUGGUGGUGACGAACUACAUCAACUACAUUAGAACAGUUCUUUUAUGGGUGGUGUGUGUGCUGCCUUAUGUGAAUAAGGAAAAUUUUACGUAUAUAUUGUGGAGGUAGGAAAAGUUUUAUCUACCCCACGGGACGCCAAAUGUUCUAGCCAAGAGGGAUGUCUCCCUACUAAAGCGUACAAUUAAGCCAGAAACAAUGGUUUCUAGCCCUAAAGUGUUUGUCAGGUCAUCUUCUUUCCCUUAUAUAAGUUAGUGCUCUCCUCCCUUUUUGUAUCCCUUCUUGUUUUGAGUUAUAUUUUCAAAUUGAUUACAAUCACAUAUAUACGGUCGAUCUCCAUAAUCAACGCACUCUCCUCUUUAUGAAAAAUAAAUAAGAUCUUUUUCAUUAAUUUCAGAGAUAGACUAUUUCACCACAUCAUCGGUCUGAUAAGUUCAUAACCAUUAUUUACAUAGAUCGACACAAAAACCAUUUCACCAUGUGAUAACACUCGAUCCAUGAUCUCACAAUACCAAAUUAAAAGAAUUCUUAAUUUUUUUUGAAAAUAAAGCUAUUUUGAAAUUGUUGUUAAAUUAUUUCAUCUUAAUAUUUAGGUCUUAUUUUCAAAAUUUGAAUUCCAACACGAUUUAUCUAUUAAUAUAACGUGUCUUAAUUUUAAUUAUAUCUCUCUAUACUUUUUUAGUAAGUUUUAAAAGUCUUGUCAUGAUUUGUGCGUGUUAUCUUUACUCGGGGACUCUUUGUAUCUUUCCAAUGUUCUCAUAUGUCCCACAAGAGACAAAGUCUCUUUUCAAUUAUUUUAGCAAUAAUAGAAAACUUACUUAUUUUAAAAUACUAUUCAGUAUUAUUAGAGCAUUCUUAUUGGGGUAAGUCAGGUACUACUUUAAUGUUUAUGUACUGUUUGAAUAAAUGUCCCAUUGAAAAAUGUGAGCAUUUUUGUCCCAUUCUUAACUUUAUUGUUUGGUAGAAAUUUUUCGUCCGGAAGAGUAAUUAAGUGGUGCAGUUUCUACCUAACUCUCCGGCCACCUGUUUAAUGCUAAUACGUCGUCAUUCGUGCUCAUAUGUUGAUGCGAAAAGAUUUAUUUCACAUUAAAAACAUAUAUUUAACAUCACAUUAUUAUAAUAAUAUAAUCAGGUUUAAAAUUAAAAAAUAAAUUAAAUAUAUGUUUAAUAUGUCUCAGUUUUUUUUUUCAGAAAAUGUUUUUUAUGAAUGAUUUAAAAUGUUUUUUUUCUUAUUUUUAUAAUUAUAAUAUAAUCUUUUAGAAUAAAAAUUUAAUUUUUAAAAAAUUAAUAUGUUUUUUCUUUUAAAAAUUUUGUUAGAAUUCUAAUAAAAUUGUCAAAAAUUUUAAAAAUAUAUUUAAGAGACGUAUUUAACUUAGUUUGAUAAGUAAGAGAUUUGUGAAAGGUAUUAAUUAAAAGAGUGGUGAUAUAUUAACACUUUUAAUGAUAAAAACACAUUUUUUUUUAAAUAAAAGUUUUCAUGUUAGACAUCAUUAUGCAGUUUUUACACUUUUUAUACUAUAAUAAAUUAAUAUUUUAUUUAUUUUUAUUUUAUUUUUUAAUUUAAAAAUAUUAUUAUAAACAAUGUAAAUGUAUGUUUUUUUAUUCACUAUAAUAAAAUCAUGAAAUAGAAACCAAUUUGUAGAAAUCAAAAUAAUUAGUUGCAAUAGUAACUAAAAAGAAAUUUGGUUUCUAAAUUAGUUUCUAUUAUUGUUAAAUAGUUUCUAAAUUGGUAUCUAAUUAGCAACUAAGGUUUUUCUACCAAAUUUAGAAACUAAAUAAUUGGUAGUUAAAAUCUUAAUUGCUAAUUAAAUAUCAAUUUAAAAACUAUUUAAUAAUAAUAUAAAUUAAUUUGAAAAACUAAUUUUGUUUACUUUCUAAAUAUUUAAUGAUUUUCUGUCUGAACAAAACUUUUCUCUAAUUAAGAAGGAGUGAUACUUUAUAAUUUGUGUUUUAUAAAUAAUUACUUUACAAUUUUGCUAUAGUGAUAUAAUAUUUAAAGUUAUCUAAUUAAUUUAUACUUUUUACAUUUAUUAUAUUAUUAUAGUUGUAAAGUAUUAUAAAAUUAUCUUUAUGUUGAGUAAAAAAUAGAUGAUUUGAUAAGUAAUUAGAGAGAUCUUUAUAAAAGUGGAGUGAUUUUUGUCUAUUAUCACUAUGAAGUUUGUUAUUGACACGAUUUUUCCAAAUUUAGAAAAUAACUAUAUUUUAAUUAUGAGUGGCGGCAAAUAUUAACUCAUCUUUUCAAGAGAGAAAUGAUAUUUUAACUAUAAAAAAUGAUUUGAUUUGAUUGAUUUAAAUAUAAAUAUAUAUUAUAAUAAGAUUGUAUAAAAUAGUAGGGUUGUUAGAAACCUAAGAACAGUGUCAGAGAGUGACUCACAAGUUAGAGAUAUUAAAAUCCAAUUUGUGUAGCCUCAAGCAUGCAUCGCAUACACAAUCUUCUCUCUUGGGUAAAAUGGAUCUAAAUGUUUCUGCAAUUGGACUUGUUUCUCUACUUCUCUUCUGUUUCUUUUUCUUUGGUCUCUUCAAAUUUUCUCAAGGAAAAGAAGCUCCCACAGUUGCAGGUGCAUGGCCAAUACUUGGCCACCUUCCAUUGUUGAGUGCUUCAAAGAGACCCCAUAGAACUUUGGGUGCUUUGGCUGACAAAUAUGGACCCAUUUUCACCAUCAAACUUGGUGCCAAAAGCGCUUUGGUAAUCAACAACUGGGAAACGGCAAAGGAAUGUUUUACCACAAACGACAUAGUCGUUUCCUCUCGCCCCAAGCUUGUUGCUGCUGAACACAUGAGCUACAACCAAGCCAUGUUUGUGGUAGCACCCUAUGGUCCCUAUUGGCGAAAAAUAAGAAAGAUUACAGUUUCAGAGAUUCUCUCCCCUCUGCGAGUGAAGCAGCUGCGUCAUGUUUUUGAGUCAGAAGUUGAAGGUUCGAUCAAGGAGCUCUUUGACUUUUGGCGUAGCAACAAGAAUGAGAGCGGCUAUGCCUUGGUGGAGUUGAAGCAAUGGUUUUCUCAUCUGAUAUUCAACAUGGUCCUUCAAAUGAUUACAGGGAAGCGAUAUUUCAGUGCAGCAACUGUGGAUGAUGAGAAGGCACGGAGAUUUGUGAGGGCUAUGGAGGAGUUCAUGCGUCUGUUCGGGUUGUUCACAGUGGGAGAUGCUGUUCCAUGGUUGAGAUGGUUUGAUUUUGGAGGGCAUGAGAAGGCAAUGAAAGAAACUGCGAAAGAGUUGGAUAGUAUUAUAGGUGAGGAGUUAGAGGAACAUAGAAAAAGGAAGGGUUUGGGUGAGAAGGUUGAUGAAGCUAAAGAUUUCAUGGAUAUCAUGAUUUCAUUGUUUGAUGGAAGAACUAUUGAUGGGGUCGAUGCAGAUACCGUAAUCAAAUCCACCCUUCUGGUAUGUAUAUUCAUUACACACACAUUAUAAUCUUUUCAAAUUUCAACAAAAUUCAACAUACAUAUAAAACGAAUUAAUAUAUAUAUAUAUAUAUAUUUAUAUUGGUGUAUGUAAAUUUUUUCUUAAGAGAUAUUUAAAAAAAAAAAUAGUUUCUAUUAUUAAUAAAUAAUUUCUAAAUUGGUAUCUAAUGUUUUAAUUAUCAAUUAUUUAGAUUUUAAAUUUUGUAGAAAUAAUCUUGGUAGCUAAUUAGAUACCAAAAUAGAAACUAAUAACUUUUUUAGUCUCUAAACUAGUAUUUAAUUUACUCAAUAUAACACCUAGUUAUAUUUGGUAUCUAAAAUUGGUUUCUAUUUAAUGAUUUUCUUGUAGUGAUGGUUGUAUAGUUUAAUAUAUACCAUGAUUGUAAAGUCUAUCUAAAGAACGAGAAUGCCGGUUAGCCUAUCCUAUAUAGGUCUGUUCCAUAUAGAAAAUGAAUGUUGAUUUUAUUGGUUUGUCUUUAAUGCUGAUUGCUUCCCAAAUGUGCACAUAAGAAAUAUAUAUUUUAAAUUAUAAAAAAUAAAUUUUGAAUAUUUUUUUUAUUAAGUUAAUCUUUUAUUUAUUUAAAUGAAUUAGAUAAAUUGUCUCACAAUAUUAUUCUCAUGAUAAUGCCUAAUAAGAUAUAGGUAAAAAAUAAUAUUAUAAUUAUGUUUUGAUUUUCUAUAAAAUUAGAAUUUUAAGGCAAAUACAUUAUUACUAUUCUAAUUUGAAAAGUAAUAUAAAAUAAUAUAUAUAUAUAUAUAUAAUACAAUUUUUAAAUUUUAUUAUAAAAAAAGAGUAAGGUAUGCUAAUGCAUUUGACAUAUGAUGAUAUGCAUUUCAGAAAGACAAAAAAACACCAUUAAAUAUUAAAAAAUCAUUAUUGAAUUUUGUGAAGGUGCUAUGAAUUAGGGAUCCACUGUAGUUUCUUCAUGCACCACCUCCAUGUCUUUCUUCUUGCAUCCCAUAGUUCAUAAAAUAUUCAAAUUAUCCUUUGAUAUUUUUCAUUGAAUGUUUUUCUUUAAUUCUGAAAUGUGGCAUUUCAUCUAGAAGUUAAAAUUUGUGUUUGGGAUUGUACAUUAUUUCAGAUUGCACAAUCCAAAAUACAAAUUUGUAUACCAGAUUAUAGAAUUUGAAAUGAAUAAUUUUAGAAAUUUUGAGAAUAAGUGGCUGCAAAAAAAAUCAUGGGGGUAUAUAUAAAAAAAACUAAUUCUUAAAAAAUGUGGGUUAUACGGGUCAACGUGCCUUAUCCCACACUUUGCCGGUAUGUGCUACGGGUUAUGCGAGGCGGGUCAACAAGUUGAAAUAGCCAGUCUACCCUGUAUUUCUUUUAGCGGGCCAAGGACUGGUCUACACGACCCACUCCGUUUUGCCAUCCAUAAUUUAAGUAACUAGUUACUAAAUAUAAAGUAUUAUAAUUAUGUGAAAUAUAUAUAAUAAAUAAUUUAUUUACGUAAAUUACACUAUAGUAAUUUUAAAUUUGAUUAGAGUAAACACUUGUAAAAUAUUCUUCUAUCAUGUCUAUUGGCAAUUUUUUCAAGUAAAUGUAUCCACAAACACUUACAAAAGAAAUAAAUAAGAAGAAGAAAUUAAAUAAAUUUUUUACAAACUAAAAUUAGUAUAUAUGAAUUAAAAAAAUAUUUUACAUAGAUUUAUUUUAAUAUAUGAUUUGUUUCCCUUAUAGAAGAACUUGUGAAUGACCAUAUUCUUAAUUUUCUUAAUUUGCAGGCAGUGAUUGCAGGAGGAACUGACACAAGUAAUAUUGUUCUUACGUGGGAAAUAUCUUUGAUUUUGAGGAAUCCUUUGGUAUUGGAAAAAGUAAAAGUGGAACUAGACAUUCAUAUUGGAAAAGAGAAAUGCGUAAGUGAGUUUGAUAUAAGUAAGUUAACAUAUCUUCAAGCCAUAGUCAAGGAAACUUUAAGAUUGUAUCCUCCUGCUCCUCUUUCGACGCCUCGUGAAUUCAUAGAGGACUGCACUUUAAGUGGUUAUAAUAUAAAAAAAGGAACUCGUCUAAUCACAAAUCUUUGGAAGAUUCACACAGAUAGUAAUGUUUGGGAAGAUUCAUUGGAGUUCAAACCAGAAAGAUUUCUUACAACUCAUAAAGAUAUUGACGUCAAAGGUCAUCAUUUUGAGUUAUUACCAUUUGGAGGUGGCAGAAGAAUGUGUCCAGGAAUAUCCUUUGGCAUUGAAGUAGUGCAUUUCUCUCUUGCUAGUUUUUUGCAUUCUUUUGAAAUUUUAAGCUCAUCACCUAAUCCUAUUGACAUGACUGAAAACUUUGGAUUAACCAACACCAAAGCCACUCCAC